rnacentral:rRNA from 1 species
UAUUGCACAAUGGGCGGAAGCCUGAUGCAGCGACGCCGCGUGAGUGAAGAAGUAUCUCGGUAUGUAAAGCCCUAUCAGCAGGGAAGAAAAUGACGGUACCUGACUAAGAAGCCCCGGCUAACUACGUGCCAGCAGCCGCGGUCAUACGUAGGGGGCAAGCGUUCUCCGGAUUUACUGGGUGUAAAGGGAGCGUAGACGGCAGCGCAAGUCUGGAGUGAAAUGCCGGGGCUCAACCCCGGAACUGCUUUGGAAACUGUGCAGCUCGAGUGCAGGAGAGGUAAGCGGAAUUCCUAGUGUAGCGGUGAAAUGCGUAGAUAUUAGGAGGAACACCAGUGGCGAAGGCGGCUUACUGGACUGUAACUGACGUUGAGGCUCGAAAGCGUGGGGAGCAA